GCCCCACUCUUACCCCAUUCCAACCCCCCAGCAAGCCCAGGAGGUACCCUGUCCCCCCAUGCCCCACACAGCAAUGCCCCACUCUUACCCCAGUUCAACCCCCCAGGAAGCCCAGGAGGUACCCUGUCCCCCCAUGCCCCACACAGCAAUGCUCCACUCUUACCCCAGUUCAACCUGGCAGAUGAUUCCCCCUCAUACACCCUUAAACACGACUCCAACGCCAGGACAUCCUGGUCCUUCAACAGGACUGAGACAGUUUCCUGCAUAACAGACCCAAAAAGGGCUCAAUAGCAAGGGUGUAGAACUGCCCAGAUAGAGGACAACCCUGACGUAUGCCCCUCCCCACCGGACAGGCCUACUGAGCCCCCCUCCCACCUUCACCAGACAAGAAGCCCCAGCAUACAACAUUUUAACCCAGGACAAAAACCGCUCCCCACUCCCAAAAGCAGACAACCCCCUAAACAAAUAUAUAUGAUCCACCCUGUCAAACGCCUUUUCCUGGUCCAAAGAAACCAGUCUUCGAAGACCCUGACAAAUCCAACAUAUCCCUGAUCAAAAACAGAUUGUCUGUGAUAGUGUGACCUUUUCAGCCCUAUAUAAAUCAGAAUAGAACUCCACAGCUCGCUCCUGCAUCUCCCCCACAACAGAAGACCUCGCCCAUCUCUCCCACAACAGAAGACCUCGCCCAUCUCCCCCACAACAGAAGACCUCGCCCAUCUCCCCCACAACAGAAGACCUCGCCCAUCUCUCCCACAACAGAAGACCUCGCCCAUCUCCCCCACAACAGAAGACCUCGCCCAUCUCCCCCACAACAGAAGACCUCGCCCAUCUCCCCCACAACAGAAGAAACCCGACCAUCAGCCAUACGUAAACAGUGCAUACGCUUCCUUUCUCCACUCUGUGUUUCCAAGCCAAAAAAGGAGGAGCUGGGAGCAUCCAUCUCAUUCAAAAUAGAAAACCUAGCUCUUACAAGUGCCCCCUUUGCUUUCAACUCAAGAAAUGCACCCAGAUCCCUACGCAAUUCAGGCAGGUUCGAAACCAGCCCCCCCCGUUUUGCCCGAGCAACUCAGCCUCCGUCUCACUUAAGUUCUGUUCAAGUUUCCCCAACACUCUCCUAGAUUCAGCUGAGGAAAAAGACGUAAAUUGUUGACAAAAAAGCCAAAUCUGUGUCCUCCCAACAUCCCACCACAGACUAAGAGACUCAUAAUCAUCCUUCCGCUGCACCCAACACCCCCAAAAUUUAAUAAAACAAGAGCAAAAAGCAGCAUCUAGUAAGGGCUUUACAUUACAUUUCCAGUAGGACGCAUGCCGGAGCCCCGGUGUAACAGAGAGCUGAGACCUGGUAAUAUGAUAAACCUAACUGGGAGUAUGGAGGCCGACACCAGCCUAUUGUUCUGGUGCCUGAACAUAUAAACACGAUCCAGGCAAGAGGCACUAACCCUCCCCCCAACUACCUUCACCCAGGUAUAUACAAACCCUCCCCCCAAC
ensembl:lncRNA